GAACGCUGGCGGAAGGCUUAACACAUGCAAGUCGAGCGCCCUGCUUGCAGGGAGCGGCAGACGGGUGAGUAACGCGUGGGAACGUGCCUAUUGGUUCGGAAUAGCCCCGGGAAACUGGGUUUAAUACCGAAUGUGCCCUUCGGGGGAAAGAUUUAUCGCCAAAGGAUCGGCCCGCGUUAGAUUAGCUUGUUGGUGAGGUAACGGCUCACCAAGGCGACGAUCUAUAGCUGGUCUGAGAGGAUGAUCAGCCACACUGGAACUGAGACACGGUCCAGACUCCUACGGGAGGCAGCAGU
rnacentral:rRNA from 1 species